ensembl:lncRNA
GUUGGCCCUGCCUUUCCUCCAGAUGCUCUAUCACUGUUUCUGGCUCUGACUCAACCUUUGUACUAUAGCAGCCAAGCAUCUCUUGAUGAUCUUUGGUCUCUGGUAAACUGCAUAAUAGAUAGUUUUUUUAAUAGUGAAGAAGUAGGAAUAUGAAAAUGGAGCCGAGUAUAACAUAAAAGGACUUCAAAAUCCGUUCCUCUGCUUGCUUUGUGCCAAUUCCUGUUUUUGGAUUCAGGGGACAACCCUUAGGGUGAAGUUGUCAUGAAUUCAGCUACUCAGUUGUCAUCUUCACUGGAGCUGGUUGAGUCAUUCCCACAUGUUACUCCCUGAUGCAGCACUGCCUAAUCUUACGGUUAGGCUUAGGUCCGAAGGGCACGGCUGUGUCUCCUCUCUAAGGCUGGGCAAGCGGCUCCGAGUGGGGAGGACGUGCUGCUGGGCAGCUGACAUCGCCUGGAGCUGAGCUAUGGGUGAAAAGCGCUACCGACGUGUAGUGGUCGCGAUUUACGAACUUUUAACUGGAGUUAAAAAUCGGGUGUCUUCUCCUUUGCUUGACACUUUCGAUGCUCCCCUAAAUACUAUUAUUUUAAUGAUUCAGUUUUAACUCCAGUACCAAAAUAAAUUCGUAUGCUAAUUUUUUUCCUACCAAUCUUCAGGUUUAUUUAGCUUAACUGCUUAAAGAAACCAUAUUAAUAGUGUCAUAAGUUUUAAUCUAAUAUGUGCAAUUAUUGUUUGUGUAAAAAACCAAGUGCUACUCUGAAGAUUUCACUGUGUUCCCAUAUACCUGUAAAAAUCUUUAAUAGAAAUGUUUUUUCAAAAUAGGCAUUUUGAACAUUUUAAUUGGGUCAUACUAGCAGUCUAAGCUGCUUAAGUAGUAUACAAUUCAAACUUGCUCAAUAGUACUCAUUAGUUAUCAUGUUUCAGCAGAUAAGCUUCCAGUUGAUUCUUAAUGCUCAUAGACGUUGGGCUAGUUGUUCGGUCAUCAUCAUGUAAACAAACCAAAGAUUAAAAAACAUUUCGCUAUGCAAAGGAUAGCUUAUUCAAUAAUAAUACUUGAAUUCUUUAGAUCUGGAAGGACAAAACAUACCAGUAGAAACUUCAUAAAAAUCCAACACUUUUUCUGUCAGCAUGCAAGUAAAGCAGUUCAACCUUUUUGAAUGAACUAAAAGACAUUCUAUCGGCUAGGAAAUCACUGAGUUAAUUUAUUAUCCAUAGCAAACAGAAGAGAGAGCAAUUUCAAUUUACUUAACUUCAGACCUUCUCAAUUAUUAUCCAUUUGUUUUGCUGAUCUCUGCUUAGGUGUUGGUGCUCAGUAUUCUGAGCAUUUCUCUUUAUGAACUUGUAGUGAUUUGAGAGGAUGUGUGAUGAAGGCUUCCUUGUAACAAGUCUGGCUGACAUGGCAGGUAGUCACUGACACAACUUGCUGUUACCUAUGGGCUUCCCAACUUUCUUCCAGAAACUGUUGCAGUCGCUCAGGAUUUGUGUAGUACUCUGUGCCACAUUUUUGUAUGUCUUUGUGUCUUUUGCACUUGCAGAUAGGUGUUUACAAGGAGCUGGUGUUUGGGAAAACCCAGUCUCUUCAAUUUAUGUUUUUCAUGUCAGCACUCCUGACAUGAAAACACAAUAGAAUAACGCAGGUAUAUGCCAACUUUUCUUAGUGGUGUUUGACUCACUGGAAUCUAUCCUGCUUUGUUUUUGAAGUACUGUGAUAAUUAAGUUGUUUAAUGUUGCUGUACAAGAACAGUUGAUUUUCUUUUAAUAGUGUACUUGUUUAAACAUUGAUUUGCUAAUUUGUAUCAAAAAUACAAGCCGUUACAAUAAAACUGUGCCUCUCCAC